AGGCUCCGCCCCCAGCCCUGCCCAGGAGAGGGAAGGGGACGCCCGCACUUCCCCGGCCCCCUCACAAGAGAGCACCCAAGCGGGGAAGGAGGACUGAGGUCCUCAUCUCCUCAGCAUCUCGACUCAGCCUCUGCCAGUGCAGGAGUGUGACAUGCGAGGGCUGGGGAGUCCUCCGGAAGGUAGACCCCCUGCCUGCAGACAGGACAGCCCCUCUCCAGAGUCGCUGACCCCAUCAGAGCUCCUCCUGCCAGUAUGGGGCCUGCAUCCUCCUUCCCCCAGCCUCAGCAACAACCCCCACACCCCUACGUUGUCCCCGCUUCACAGAUAAGGAAACGGAGGCUCAGCGGGGUUAAACCAUUCUUCCGACAUCUCACUGCUAACGUGGAGACUGAGGCUUCAGAGAAGUGAAGUCACCUGCCCAGGGUAAUAUAGCAAGAAAGUGACAGUGCCAGAAUUUGAACCCAGUUCCGUGUGACUCGGGAGCCCAGGCCCUUCCCUGGGAGCCCCUCAGGGAGGUAAAGGUAUAUGAUCUCUCUGCCAAGCCCAGAAUCCAGGACCCCAAGGGAGAGAGAAAGGGGCCGCAUCUUUGCCCGUCCCUCAGUGUGAGCUUACAGCCUUCACACGGCAAUGGACCCAGGGUAAGAUCCAGGGGUGACCCCUUUCCAGCUUUGGGGAAGUUGGCACAAACAACCCCUCUGACCCUCUGGCUCCUUCUCAAUAAAGCCCACGUUUCCAGCUGCUUCCUGGACUGUCUCCCAGAAGCCCACGACACCUGGGACUCAAGCUGGCCAAUUUCCACUCAUCACCUUCCACCCCAGCCUGCCCUGUGUCUGGGUUCCCCUCCAUCCACCAAACAAGCCUGAAGCCCCACCCCAUCCGGGACCUCUCCCUCCUCCACACCCUCACACCUGCUUCCUACCCAAGUCAGCCUUCUGCCAGAGGAUGUCUCUCAGGCCUGGCUCCUCCUCUCCCCCCACAUCCCCUGCCCCACUCCCUCCUCAGACAGCCCUGUGUUAUUGCUCCAGACCUCUUACAGCUCUCCCCUCCUUCCCUUUCUCUAAAUCUAAUCUCCCUCCUCCCUGCUUAAUAACCUUCCAUGGCUCCCCACUGCCUACCACAGGAAGUGGACAUUCAAGGCUCGCACGCCACGCCCCAACCCUCAGCCCCCGACUUCACCUCUUACCGUCCACCUUCCUUCAAUAACUCCCACGAGUCCAGCACCUCUCCUAGGUGGCUGGGUUCUCCCCUGUACCGAGAGAGGGGAUCUGGCAUCCAGGCUGGGGAAAAAGGGCUCCCUGACCCCCAUAUCCUUGCAUAUGGGUUUCCCCCUAGGUGGGGGCGGGGUGCAGUGACGCAGGCAGCGCGGGUCACGUGUCAGCCAACCCUUGGCUGCACAAUAAUCCUCUUCCCUCCGCUGGUGAAAGUUAGCUGGAAGGGACAGUGACUUGCCUGAGGCCACCCAGUCAGGCCCAGCCUGUUGCCCCCUCCUCAAAUCAGAAGUGACCCUUUCUGUGACAGCUUUUCUGACAGAUAAGCAUUCGGAUUUUUCUUACACAUUUCCAUCGCUGAGGAGCUCGCUCCUGCCCCUCCUGCUGUCUCUGACCUGUCAAAAAUUGUUCCUAGGUUUGUAGAAAAUGGAGUGGUCCCUCUUAGAGGGCAGGAGGCCGAGUGUUCAUUGUAACUUUAUAUGCAGUUCUGUCUGGAUGAAUUACAACCUGCAUGCAGGACAGUUGAGACUUGAGUCAAAAUUGAGAGAGUCAAGAUUUUAAAAAGAAAGUUCUUCCUAAAUUGGGAUCUGCCUUCCUGAGGCCCAGCCCUGCCCUGGGAGGUUUUCUGCAGGCUGAAGGCGGCACCCAGCGCCCGAAGCCCCAGGGUGACUCUCCUCCCAGCCUGCUCCUCCCAACCCAGAAAAGCGGUUGGAAUCCCCAGCCACCUUGUGAUGUGGCACUGUAGGCUGAGGGAUUGCACAUAUGGUGCAGGGCUGGGCCCGGGGGAGAUGAGGGCAGCAGACCUGGCCCCACCACCAGCCAGCUGUGUCCUUCUGGAGCCUCAGUUCCUCUUCUGGGAAAGGCUUCCAUCCUGAGGAGCCCACAGGACACUGUGGAGGGUAGUGCACAUGAGGAGGCUGCUCGGUGACACUGCAGGGCUCAGGGGCAUACACGCAUACAGUCUUGAGGGCAGGUGCUUCUGGGAGAGGACAGGUAACACCCCAGCUCAAGGCUUCUGCUGGCACCUGCGAUUGUGCCCAUUUUCCAGAAGAGGAAACUGAGGCCCAAAGAGCUCAAGUUCCCUGCCUGAGACCGUGCACAGGGUUAGAGCUAGAUCCAAGAUGGGGCCCACCUCUAUUUCCUGAGCUCUUUCCAGUGGACCAGGAUGCCCUGGAGAAGUGAGGGCUUCCCAGAGAGCUCAGAGGGACCUGGAGUCCCAGACCCAACCCCUGGAGGCUGCAGUUGCCAGAUCCCAGUGGCCUCAUGCUCCUGAUCUGUCUCCCUUGCUGGGAAGACUGGGUCAGCUCCCAUUUCUGGCACUUUAGGCUCUCCCUGAGGCUGGGGACUGCCUCUUCGUUCCCAUAGUAACAGUGAACAGAGGGGCCUCCGCAUCAGUGCAGGGAUAACGCCCGGGUACCCGUGAGGAAUCCCUGCCACGGGCAGCCUUAGGUACAUGCAAGCAUGCAUGCUCGUGUGCACCAUUGCACAUGCAUACACACCCAAUGCAUGUGUAUUUGCACACUCACGCCCCUUUGUGAACACACACGCACACCCUUGCACACCCAGGCACAUGCACAAUGUCCCCAAUAACCACCUGACGUGGCCCACUCCCACAGCCACCCUGGCUACUCAGGAACAGGGAUGGUGGGGAAAUGAGGGAUUUCUGCUUUGUAAUAAAACUCACUGCUACGUUUAUAGAUUCUUACCACGUGCCCAGGAUUGCGUCGUCCUUUUCACGUUAACAUCUCCUGUACUCUCCACAACACUACUCUAAGAUAGGUGCCCAGUGAGGAAACAGGCUCAGAGAGGUGGAGUGACUUGCCUGAGGUCACCCAGUAGGCAUGGCCAAGCCAAGAUUUGAGCCCAAGACUGUUUAGUUCCUUCCCUCCCUGCCAGUCCCUUGGUGCCAGACCCAUGAGGACUCACCCUGAGACCCACAAACACAGAUGGGGAGGCCUGGCAGCAGGGGGGCAGCAGAGCUGAGGCCUCCCAACCAGAACGCCAGGGAUCCCGGACUUGGGGCUCAGGGUCAACAGAUGCCUCUCCGGCCCCCAGCCACUCUUGAGACCGAGGCAUGAAGGGGGCUCCAGAGGAUGACAGGGUCUUCCCUUGCAUUUAUCUCUUCCUAGUCAGCAGAAAAGGAACUUUGAACAGCAA